AUGACGGAUAUCGUGACUCAUGUCUGGCCGGAUAGGCCCAAGCCAAAGAGUUAUUUUGGCUUAUUGCAGCAAUUUUUUGGGGCGGUGCCGCAUAUCAAGGCGAUGAAGCGGUCGGCCUGCAUAGAGGGUGCACGGAUGACUCUUGCCCGUGUGAAGACACAUUGGACAGAGAUGGAUGCCACCGCUGUUGCGACCCAGGGUUCGGACGAGAGCCGGUUACCCGCCGAGCACUAUUUUGGGGAAGUUCUGUGUGGUGCUCGUGUAAUAGAGUCGCAGUGCUCAAAAAAUUUCAUGUUCAAAUGA
rnacentral:rRNA from 1 species